rnacentral:lncRNA from 1 species
CGAGAGAUUGGUCGAACAACAAGUUCUCGUAUAUCUAUCCGACACUACCGGCUACAUAUAUACAAUAAUUAUCUCUUACAAAUAUAAUCAUAUGGACUCAUGGUCCACAUAGUAUUCUCCGUCUUCAGCGAUCACGUGGUCAAGAAAGAAUGCCGCCAAUUCCUCUUGAAUUGCUCGCAUGCGAGCUGGUGCUAGGAGUUCACCCCGCUUCCGAAACAUCUAAUUUGAAGAAGGGGGUCAAUACAUAUAUAUAUGAAUGAAUGAAACUCAAUACAAAUGAUGGUAAUAAAAUAAAAUUGUGAAUGUUGUUAUUUACGUACUUCAUAUUGUUCAUCAGAGUACCCGCCCCGCUCACAGGUCGUGUGGCGGAUGGACUCGCAGACGUAGUAUCCACGGAAAUCAUUCCCUUGUUCCUGCCACAACCACUUUACAAGAAAUAGAGGUCAAUCAAACUGAUAAGCAAGAAUGCUAAAUGGUAUUGAUGAAACUAGCGCUUGAAUCACUAGGAGAUGCGCGGAACAUGCUACUAUAGUACUUACUUUCGGGUGUCUAAAUUCUAGCUCCUUCAGCAG